rnacentral:rRNA from 1 species
CAAUAGCGUAUAUUUAAGUUGUUGCAGUUAAAAAGCUCGUAGUUGGAUUUCGGGUGGGACGCAGCGGUCUCGCAUUGCGUUUGUACUGCUGCAGCCCUCCUUCUUGCCGGGGGCGGCCUCUCGGACUUCACUGUCUGGGGGUCAGAAUCGGCGAUGUUACUUUGAGUAAAUUAGAGUGUUCAAAGCAAGCUUACGCUCUGAAUAUAAUAGCAUGGGAUAACACGACAGGACUCUGGCCUAUCGUGUUGGUCUAUAGGACCAGAGUAAUGAUUAAGAGGGACAGUCGGGGGCAUUCGUAUUCCGUUGUCAGAGGUGAAAUUCUUGGAUUUACGGAAGACGAACAUCUGCGAAAACAUUUGCCAAGGAUGUUUUCAUUGA